rnacentral:rRNA from 1 species
CACGUAGGGGGCGAGCGUUGUCCGGAUUCAUUGGGCGUAAAGCGCGCGCAGGCGGCUCGGAAAGUCGGGUGUGAAAACUCGGGGCUCAACCCCGGGCGUGCAUCCGAUACUGCCGGGCUUGAGGCAGGUAGGGGAGAUCGGAAUUCCUGGUGUAGCGGUGAAAUGCGCAGAUAUCAGGAAGAACACCCGUGGCGAAGGCGGCUCUCUGGGACGGUACUGACGCUGAGACGCGAAAGCGUGGGGAGCGAACAGG